rnacentral:rRNA from 1 species
AUUGAACGCUGGCGGCAUGCCUUACACAUGCAAGUCGAACGGCAACAGGUCUUCGGAUGCUGACGAGUGGCGAACGGGUGAGUAACACAUCGGAACGUGCCUAGUAGUGGGGGAUAACUACUCGAAAGAGUGGCUAAUACCGCAUGAGAUCUACGGAUGAAAGCAGGGGAUCGCAAGACCUUGUGCUACUAGAGCGGCCGAUGGCAGAUUAGGUAGUUGGUGGGAUAAAAGCUUACCAAGCCGACGAUCUGUAGCUGGUCUGAGAGGACGAUCAGCCACACUGGGAAUGAGACACGGCCCAGACUCCUACGGGAGGCAGCAGUGGGGAAUUUUGGACAAUGGGCGAAAGCCUGAUCCAGCAAUGCCGCGUGCAGGAUGAAGGCCUUCGGGUUGUAGACUGCUUUUGUACGGAACGAAAAGCCCCGGGUUAAUACCCUGGGGUCAUGACGGUACCGUAAGAAUAAGCACCGGCUAACUACGUGCCAGCCGCCGCAGUAA